GAGCAUUGAGUGACAUCAUCAAAUCCAAACGAGAACUCUCCCAGUGAGCAUAGUCAGGACUUUGAGACAGUCUCUCAGAAAAAGAUAACUUUGUGGAGGUUUUCUUGAAGAAGAACAAGGAAGAGACGUCAGAGAGUUCCCUCUCCCUCUCCCUGCAUGAACACAGAGAAGGGUUGGUGCAGACUCAGGGAGAAGGCAGUCAUCUUCAAGCCAAGGAAAGAGUCCUCACCAGAAACCAAGUUGGCCAGCACCUUGAUCUUGGACUUCCAACAUUUAAAACUGUAAGGAAAUAAAUUUCUGUUUUUUAA